rnacentral:misc_RNA from 1 species
AUAAAGAUUCAGCCACGGAAGUCCAGGGAACCCUUCAAGGUCGUUUGUAAAUCCAUUGACAACACCGGAGGAUGGACUGUGUUUCAAAGACGCCAAGAUGGCUCCGUAAAUUUUUAUCGAGAUUGGAAUACAUACAAGAAAGGAUUCGGAGAUCCCUCCGGUGAAUUCUGGAUGGGAAAUGACAAGCUCAAUGAAUUAACUAACCAAGGUCCUUUCCAGUUGCGAGUGGACUUGGAAGACUUCAAAGGACAGAAAUACUACGCAGUCUAUAACUACUUUCGAAUCGGCAACGAGACAGAAAAUUACAAGCUACACGUUCGUGGUUACCAUGGCAACGCUGGAGAUUCCAUGACAUCAGUUCGUGACAACCACAAUGGAAACAUGUUCAGUACACACGACCGCGACAACGACAGAAGGGGAUACAAUAACUGCGCGCAACACUUCCGGGGAGGAUGGUGGUAUUCGGAUUGCUAUGAUUCCAAUCUAAACGGACAGUACUACCCACAGGGUAAACACGUGAAUUUCUUCAACCGUGAUGGGAUCCAUUGGAAGUCUAUCAACGAAAUGUUAUCUUUGAAAUUCGUUGAGAUGUCAGUUAGACCCGCCGACGACCUAUCGUCCGAAAACAGUUUGUAAAUGCCAAAGGUUUUAAAGCAUAUACCGACGGCCUUUCUCUGAGGUGCUUAUAUGGAAAAACGUGAUUGCUAGUCAGAUUUUGUUGUGAAAGUUUUCCAUGAAUAAACUAAUAUAUAAAAAUUCAUGAAAAGACAUGGGGUAACAGUUGUAAUACUCAAAGAAAGGAAAUUCUUUAGAGUUUGACUUAUUGUGAUAAUCGAGUUAUUCUAAGAACCAUAAUGGUUUCUUUAACAGAAUGAUCAAACGCAUCUUCAAAAGACUUAGACGAAAUCUCGAAGGAUUCGAGAAAGUCCGAGAUGAACUUUUUUCACUGCCAGUCUCACUACACAGUGAAUUUGCAAAACUUACAUUGUUUCGAAGUUAACGUUGUAAAUAAUAAGAGUUUCUUUUAAUUGUUUGUCACUCAUCUUCAUUAUUUUUCGUUAUUUAUUUGUAUAGAACUGAUCAUAUUUACAUGUACAUAUUCAUCCAAGAUUUUACUCUGUACAUGACAAAGGGAUGUAAAUUUGUAAUGUAAGUGCUAGUCAAUAGAUUGGCACUAAUUGACACGUUGUAACAGAUUCUAUAUAUCUAGUUCAGCCACAUGAACCACAUGUAUUGUAAACACGUAUAGUUCAUUGUUAAACUAAACUAUAGCAAUGACGUCACGGUAGCUUGUUAAUUUAUUAACAAUGUGAUUUCGUUUUGCGUCUUUUUCGAUUUUUAUUUUUAUAUAAAAUGUGGGGUAUGAGAUAAAGAUGCUACAUGUCUGUGCCUUUCCCUAAUCGUGAUAUGUACGGGUAUAGAAGCUCCCAGAAAUCU